UUAAGUUCAGCGGGUAUUCCUACCUGAUCCGAGGUCAACCUUAGAAAAUAGUUUAAGGAGACCGGCCCGCUGGGUCCCACCCGAUGCGUGCUCUCGAAAGAAGCUCGUUGCACCAAGGGUCCCAGUGGGAACCGUCAUUGUCUUUGGGACCAGUUGGUCGUCGCCAACCAACGCGGGUCCAACACCAAACACGAGGUUUG
rnacentral:misc_RNA from 1 species